GAGGCACAGCUUUGCCUUGAUCUUAGUUGAUGAGCAAGAAAAUGGGAAUCUCUAAAGGACCCAACAUUUCAUUCCUCCAUUAUAUCUGCACUGACUCAGCCUGUAAAUAAGAGGUUUAUGAGUGCUGGAGAGCCAGCUGGAAGCUACCUGUGUCUCAUACACUUCCUUUUUUUUUUCUUCUUUUUUCCAAAUGCCUCCAGCACUGAAAUGUUCCUUUGAGGAUUUCUAGAGAGAGCAGUAGACUGAGAAAAAUUCUGCCCUGCAGCAGGGAGCACCAUGGUGUCACCGUGAUCCUCCUCGUCAUCAGCAUGUGCGCCCAGCAUCUGCCUCCAGAGCUCUGACUCAGCCUCAGCCCAGCUCCAAGUGCUGCUCCACGUGCUUUCUGACUCCUUUAUCUGCAAGGCUCCUGCCUUCUCCUGUCACACAUUGAGUCCAGCUGCCUCAGAGCUGCUGCCCCACACUGCCUUCUCUGCAGCACACGUGGGACCUCUUCAGCAUCUUGGCUUUCAUCUGCUGUGGAAGUGAGAACAAUCAGUGGAUUAAAUGUGGGAACUCUUGGACUGGGAGAUUAAACUGAUGUAAUGAGUCUCCUCAACCUACAUUCACCAAAACAGACUUGCAGAAGCUGAUUAAACAAAACUGUCUCAUAGUGCUGUGUCACAACCUCAGAGAAAAUAGGGGGAAGGAGUGAGGGCAGGAGGGGCUUCUGAAACCUGUGGAGUGGUACCUUCAUAUGGCAAGGAGAAGCUGCAGAAGUAAAAGCUUUGUAAAUAUAAUUUCAAGGCUGCACCUGGUAAGGGAAAUAUAGCUUGAAGUACACAGGAUCAUUAAGGCUGGGAAAAACCUUUAAGAUCAUUAACACAGCACUGUCAUGUCUACCACUAAACCAUGUCUCCAAGCACCACAUCUACAUGGUUUUUUUAACAUUUCCAGAUAUUCCACUCCACCAGUGCCUUGGCAAGCCUGUGGCAAUGGCUUCAGUGAAGAAGUGAAGAAAUUUUCGCUAAUAUCCAAUCUUCCCCUGGCUCAGCCUGAGGCCGUUCCCUCUCCUCCUGUCCCUGUUUCCUGGAGCAGAGCCCGACCCCUCUGACUGUUCCCUCCUGUCAGGAGUUGUGCAGAGCCAGAAAUUCCCCCUGAGCCUCCUUUUGUCCAAGCUGAGCCUUUUUCCCAUCUCCCUCAGCCCCUCCUGGUGCUGCAGCCCCUUCCCCAGCACCGUCCCCUUCCCUGGGCCUGCUCCAUUCAGAUCAUGCUUCUUCCAGUUUGAUAAGGAAAAAAUUCUGCUGAAAAAUGCACGUGUGCUCCUGACAGGACAAGAUGUUUGCAGCCUUUGGUUGGCAGGGAAAGCUUCCACCAUCCCAGGCUGCUCCAAGCCCUGUCCAGCCUGGCUUGGACCCUGCCAGGGACCCAGGGGCAGCCACAGCUGCUCUGGGCACCCUGUGCCAGGGCUGCCCACCCUCACAGGGAGCAAUUCCUAAUUCCCAAUAUCCCAUCCAGCCCUGCCCUCUGGCAGUGGGAGCCAUUCCCCUUGUCCUGUCACUUCAGGCUGUCCAAAGUCUCUCUCAGAGCCCUUUGGGCACUGGAAGGGGCUGUUAUGUCUCCCUGGAACCUUCUCUCUUCCAGGCUGAGCAUUCCCAGCUCUCCCACCCUUUCCUUGUAGGACAUGAUAUUGAUCCCACUACAAAAUGGAGCCUGUUAUUCAAACCAGAGUGGAUAAAAAGUCAUGGCCUGCAUGGAAAAGAGCUAUCUUUGUGCAAGCUUUGAUGUUAAAAAAUAGUAACUUGAACUCACAGAUGUACUGAUUGCCCUGCUAAAAGAAGACGUGGAAUCUCUUCUCAGAAUUACAGCAUUUUAAUUAGAAGAAUGUGAGCAAAGCCUUAAUCUUGUUAGUAAGGAUAGAUACGGAUGAGGCAGAAACAAAAUCCACAGCAACACAGUCCAAACACAAAAAGCUGUCUUGGAGGUUGGUAACAGCACCAGAACUGCUCCCUGCCACUGCUUUUCCUGCAAGACUAAGCUUGACACUGACUAAGUUGGAAGAAAUUGCUCUUCUGCCUUGUAGCACUGAACUACAUCACACACAGCUGUUUGAGAAAAAAUAGCUGAAAUGUGGGAAAGGUACUUCAGAUUUACAAACCAAAUCCACAGAAACUUGAUUAUUCUCUUUAAAGUUCUUUUGAGCCCUUCUAAAUUCUUGUGACAUUCAAGGAUCAAUAAGAAUCUCAUCUGUAGCUGAUCCUGACAGAUGUUAAUCUUUGCCUUGGCUUUGCAGUCUGCUCGAAAUAGUACUUGUUCCUUCAUGUCAGGCCUCUGGCAAUGCUUACAGAGCCAGGAUUACAGUCUCCAGUCAAUCCCAUUUGUGCUGUCAUUAACUUUCUAAACUGUUCCCCAUAGCUGGCAACCUUUCCAUGCUUGGAGAUCUACUUAGUGGGAAGCUGGGAGAGUGAUGGGUUUUGCCUGUCUGGAAUUAUUGUGCUUUUAAUUGAGAUUUGUUUAAUUUUGUCAUUAAGUCCAUUUACAUUGUAGGCAUUUCAUGACCAUGAUUACACACUGUGACUGUACCCUGGCUGUGUUUUGUGCCAUUUACCUAUUAAAGAAAGAGAAAAAAGCUCUGUGUUUACUUAAGAUUUUUACAAGUAGCCUUUGUUUUUUUUCUUCCAUUAACUUAUUUAAUAAAUUAAUUUGAUUUUUGGAUUGGAAAAAAAUUGCUCAUCUGCACAUUCUGUGCUGUG